CUAAACUCUCAAUUGGACCUCAGGAAUGUACCAAGUGGUCCUCUAACUUCAUGACAGUAUUUGACAUGUCCAAUGAAUUCCAGCAACCAACUGGAUUAUCAACAGAUCCUCAAAUAGUGUUCAGGCUACCUCCUGAAUCCAUGCUGAAGAACGAGUUGUGCCAAGAAUUGAAUACAGACUCCUGGCAAGUGUUUACGACGUCCAAUGAGCUCAACCAAGAGAUUGAGACAGCCAAAGACCUUCAAGAAGUGUUCAAGCGACAUACCAAACCCAUUCAGAGGACUGAGCAGUCAUAUGGAUGCAUGCAAGGGUUUGAACUGUCCUCUGAAUCCACACACACGAUCAACCCAUUUUCUUCUAAACCCCACCAAGGGAAUGAGUUGUCCCCAAAAUACAGGCAAGGAAUUGAGUCAUCUGAACAUGAGCAAGGCAUUGAGACAUCUUUUGGGACUAAGCUUUCUAUUGAAUCUCAAGAAUGGAUGGAACAAUCUCCCAAUUCCUGGAAAAUAAAUGCAAUGACAGACGAAUCCCAACAAACCAAACUGUCAACAGAGGAAGAGUCUAUGCUGCUUCCUGGACUAAAGCAAAUUAAUGAAAAGUGUUCUGAGCUCAACCAAGAAGUAGAACUGACCCCUGACUCCUUGCAGGUAUUUGAGGUGUCCAAUGAACCCAUGAAACAGACUGAAUCAACCACUGAGUCUCAUGGGGUGUUCAAGGUUCCCCUGCCACCAAAACGACUGGUUAGGAGGUUUUCAGGGUACAUUCAAGGGAGUGAGCUGUCUCAUGAGUCCAUGCAAAGAAUUGAUUCCUUUGCAAACUCUGGGCAAAUAUGGAAUAUGUCCAUUGAACCCAAACACCAAACUGAGUUGUCCACUAGACUCAACCAAGGGACUGAGAGCUCCCCUGAGCCAUAUGAUUGGAUUGAGCGUUCUCCUAGCUGCUGCCAAAUAUUUGAAAUGUCCAAUGAAUGUCAACAAAUGACUAAAUCCUCCACAGAGACUGAGGAAGAGUUUAAGCUGCCUCGUGAACUCAAGCAAAACACUGAGCUGUCUUCUAAGCACAAGCAAGGAUAUGAAUCGACAACUGACUCUUGGCAAGUUUCCAAUGAGCCCCUGGAAUGGCUUGAGCCAGCCAAAGAGAUUCAAGGAGUGUUCAAGAUGCCUCUGCCACCAAGAAAAAAGGUUUCGCGAUCUCAAAAGUGCAUGCAUGGAAUUGUUCCCUCCGGCCAAGUAUUUAUGGGCUCUGCUGAGCCCCAACAGCAGAUUGAGGUGUCUUCUCAACCACACCAAGGCACCAAAUUGUCCCCUAAACCCAGGCAAGAAACUGAGCAUGAGCAAAGGAUUCGGCGAUCUCUUGAGCUCAGGCAUGGGACUGAGAUUUCCAUUGAGCUUCAAACAUCUAACGUCCUAGAAAAGCUUGAGGUGUCCACCGAGCCACAAAAACUAACUCUGGGAGAGUUUAAGCUGCUAUCUACACUCAGCCGAAAGACUAGGAGGUCUUCUGAGCCUAUGAAAGGGUUUGAAGUGACUUCUGAUUCUAAGCAAGAUACUGAGCUUUUUGAAGCCCAACAACAGAUUGAGAUAGGUCUUGAGCUACA
ensembl:lncRNA